UGGAGGUGAGAAGCCCAAGAUCAAGGUUCAACAGAGUUGGUUUCGUCUAAGGGGCCUGAAGAAGGAUCUAUUCCCGGCCUCUCUUGUUGACUUAUAUCUGAGGGUCUCUGAACCAGAAACUCAGAAGCCUAUAAUCAGAAGCCACCUUCCCCAACUAAAUGCAGAAGUUUCCACACUCAUCUUGAGAGUCUCCCCAAGGGGAAAGGUGAAGGUCUCAGCUGAGUAACAGCUUGGAAGCCCUGGAAAAGCCAUUAUCUCCAGGAGCCGGAAUUGCAGGGGGACAGCAGUGGCAGAGGAAACCAAACCUUCCCGCAGCUGAAGAAUCCUCCGCUGCCCGUGGCCCCUCCCCCAGCCCUGGACCCCAUCCCCUGCUCUCUCCAGCCUCACUCACUCCCGGACGACGAUGGAGAUGGAGUCAAAGAUUCUGAGUGACAAGUGUUGUGAACAGAAGACCCUGAAAAUUGAAUAGGCUUCAGGCCCUAACAACACUUGGAUGCUCUCGGACUAAAUCAGGACGGGCUCUGGGCUAACCACUUUGUCAGCAGUUUCUCAAGAGAUUAUUGCUUUUCAUGACAAAGCCAGUGAGUUUCACGAUGAGAACUGUGAAGCUGUUGCAAGGUCAGCGGAUUCCCCACUACAGCCAUCUAGCCUGGAUCACCGCACUGAGGGAGAAUGGCUGUUCGGGCCGCAUGAACAUUGAACUACUGUCAGAUUUGACUAAACAGACUUCCCGAGACUAAGGUGUGCUGCUAGAAGGUCCUGGUCUUGCACGAAGAGGUCUCUUCCUAGCUGACCCCAAUGGAGUCAUCAAGCAUUUGAAUGCCAAUGAUCUCCCAGUGGGCCUCUGCCUGGUGAAAGCAUUCCAGUUUGUGGGAGUCCAUGGAGAAGUCUGCUUAGCAAACUGGACCCUGGAUUCUCCUAUGAUCAAGCCUCGUCCGACUGCUUCCAAAGAAUACUUGGAGAAGAUAAAUCAGCAGAUCAUCUGUGUGCACCUGCAGCUUCUCAAAAGAACCACAGUUGGAAGUUACUUUUAGCAUUGCAAAGAUGAUUACGUAGAGAAAGCAAAAAAAAAUAA